rnacentral:rRNA from 1 species
GACGAACGCUGGCGGCGUGCCUAAUACAUGCAAGUCGAGCGAAUCGAUGGGAGCUUGCUUCCAGAGGUUAGCGGCGGACGGGUGAGUAACACGUGGGUAACCUGCCUGUAAGAUUGGGAUAACUCCGGGAAACCGGAGCUAAUACCGGAUAACAUUUUGAACCGCAUGGUUCAGAAUUGAAAGAUGGUUUCGGCUAUCACUUACAGAUGGACCCGCGGCGCAUUAGCUAGUUGGUGAGGUAACGGCUCACCAAGGCAACGAUGCGUAGCCGACCUGAGAGGGUGAUCGGCCACACUGGGACUGAGACACGGCCCAGACUCCUACGGGAGGCAGCAGUAGGGAAUCUUCCGCAAUGGACGAAAGUCUGACGGAGCAACGCCGCGUGAACGAUGAAGGCCUUCGGGUCGUAAAGUUCUGUUGUUAGGGAAGAACAAGUACCAGAGUAACUGCUGGUACCUUGACGGUACCUAACCAGAAAGCCACGGCUAACUACGUGCCAGCAGCCGCGGUAAUACGUANGUGGCAAGCGUUGUCCGGA